UAAAACUAAGAAGCUAAGCAUAGAAGGGGGUGCAUGGGUAAUAGGCUAAAGCCACCCCCUGACCAAAGGGAGGUUUGUUAGUGAUUAUAGAGUCUGGCAAGAAGCCACAAGGUGAAGUAGCCAUGGGGAGUGGAGGCAGCUCAGACAGGUGGUAAACCCUGAGGAUGGAAGGAGGAAGCAGGACAGAGUCCAGGGAAGCAGCAACCCCAUCUGGGAGUCAGUAGACCAUAGCCAGGGAGCACAGCAUCCCUGGGUGGGCUCCCAGAGUAGAGGGUGGGCCCAGGUCCCCUACCAGCUUCUGGGGAAGUGAGACAGCCUUGGCAGUAGAAUGGAUGACUGCCUGGACUGACUGAGGGACAGCUUGUCUAGAGGGAGAUUGACAGACCCUUGGAAGUGUAGGACUGAAGUGACUCCCUGAAAGGCCAGGUCACAAGGGAAAAGACUGCCCUAAGGGCUGUCCAACUAGUGGCUAACUCCCAGAUGAGCCACGAGGAGGUGCCCCAUUGGCUUUCUCCCUUCAUCACAAAGAAGCAAAAGAAAGGCACAAAUCCAUGGGUAAAGGUUGCCUCGAGGGAGAUGUAUUCUCUGCUUCUCUUCUCCCCAGGGAGGGGGCGGGAGAAAUCCAACGACAGCGCCGUGUCUGCUCAUUUUCAUUCUGUGACUGCCCCUCUCCAGGCACACAGUGCAAGAACAGAGUAUAUACACCCAACCAGUUCACAAGACUAAGUCAAAACACAACCAACGGGAUGCAGUGAUGCUUCAUGGGGAGAUCAACAAAAACAGCUGAUGGAGAAGAUGCCCACACUGCUGUACAGAUCAGAUUCAGUUGGGGAAAACGGGAUGUCCAGCCUGUCACAUCUACUCUCACCAUCGCCUGAUCCAUCCAGCUGUAUCUGUCAGUCUUGCUCAUGACAGGAACUGAGGUAACACCUGUGACACUAUAACCUCUCCUAUAGGAAGAAUAUCCACAACCUGACAGCCAAAGGAAUUACCACCCCCCUCGACAACCUAAUAACAACAAUGCAACAGAAAAAAAUAUCUCACACACACAUACACACACCCUGAAAAUCAACGAACCAACCGGAAAAAUAAAAAAAGUUCUAUGUGGUGUUCUUAUUCCUUAUCUACAUUAUUGCACGAAAGAUCAAGGACAUUGAGGGACCUAAGGCAAAAAGGAGAAAAUGCGGCUCUAUUAUCUAAAUCUGUGCAAUGCUACCUCUAAAAAAUACUCGAGCCCUGGUCUUCCCCAGAGCACGGGGUGACACCUAAACAGGAGGGCAAACGGAUUGCGUUCACCCAAAACGUGGACUGUUGAGAAGGAGGGGGCGAUGCUGUGUGUUGUAAUGUUGGGGAUGGGGGGAGAGGCCCAAUGGAUGGGAUUGGUGACGCUAAGGAAUGGCAGGAGAUUCAGGGGUCAGCAAGCUGCUAGUCUUAAGGGUGGGGGAAGCCUCUCAGAUGCUGUCCCUUCCUCACCAUGGAUAGGUAGUCAUUUGGGUGGAUCAGUCCUGCCAAGGGAUGAAGCAAUGGGCUAUCAGACAUGGUGCCCCUCGGAUACUGUACCCAGAGGUGCUGGAGAGUCACCACUGGUGCUCUGGCAGUGGUGGGGAAGGAGGCCAGGGCUGGGUGUGUGCUAUGGUCAGCAAUGGUUAUACAGAAGACACACCCUCGCUUUCUGCUGAAGUCCAGUGGCACUGGCUGUUGGGUGCCCCGUGUGUUAGGUGCAGGGCUCAGACCAUACCCGCCUGCCUGGUGUCUGUUUGUAAACUGCUGUUGCUGCUUAAUAGCGUGAUAGCCCUUUGUGCAGUAGUGAGUGAGUUGGGCCGUGCCCAGGAGCUGCGGCUCAGGGGGCAGGAGCUGCUGGCCAGUGUGACACCUCCACUCAGCCAGUCCAACUCCCCUCCCCUGAAAUGGCCCCGGCUAUGGC